UUGGCUUUAGAUGACAACAAUAUCUCAAUGAUGGCUUUUACUAUCGAAGUUUCUAGGGGUGAUAAUAGUUUAAUAUUUUAUUCAUAAUUUGCUAAAAUUAUGCAAUCAAAACUUUUCGCCAGUGAACGCACGUGGUAUAUGCAAAUUAGACACCUCUAUAUCUUUUUCAUAUAUAUAUAUUUUUUCAUAUAUAUUUUUUCCCAUAAUGCCAUAUAUAUCUUUUUUUCGAGAUAUCUUUUUCAGGUAGUUCUGACCAAAACCACGUCAGCUUAUUGUAGAAUAUACUAUAUACCUACACUGCCACUGGACCACCACGUUUGAGAUAUCUUUAUAUAUACAACAAUAUUAAAUAAUUGGCACAAAUGGGUAAGAGCUAGGUUUACCAAUCGCCAAAUAACAAACGCGACUUGUUUUGCUGCAAAAUUUCCUAAAUAUAUUACAAUUUUUUAAGACAAAUGUUUAAGAAUCCUAAAGUUUUAUAUAAGUGUUGCCUCGUUUAAACAUGAUUAAAACGGCCUCCUUAGGAAACGUCCAAUUACGCCUGGGGCUCUUCGUCGUUUCCGUCUUUUUAUAUCUGUAGAA
rnacentral:lncRNA from 1 species